GUGUCAGCAGCCGCGGUAAUACCGGCAGCCCAAGUGAUGGCCGAUCUUAUUGGGCCUAAAGCGUCCGUAGCUGGCCACGCAAGUCCAUCGGGAAAUCCACCUGCCCAACAGGUGGGCGCCCGGUGGAAACUGUGUGGCUUGGGACCGGAAGGCGCGACGGGUACGUCCGGGGUAGGAGUGAAAUCCUGUAAUCCUGGACGGACCGCCGAUGGCGAAAGCACGUCGCGAGGACGGAUCCGACAGUGAGGGACGAAAGCCAGGGUCUCGAACCGGAUUAGAUACC
rnacentral:rRNA from 1 species